UACAGAGGUCUCAAGCGUUGUUCGGAUUCAUUGGGCGUAAAGGGUGUGUAGGUGGCGCGCUAAGUCGGGUGUGAAAUUUCGGAGCUUAACUCCGAAACUGCAUUCGAUACUGGCGUGCUUGAGGACUGGAGAGGAGACUGGAAUUCAUGGUGUAGCAGUGAAAUGCGUAGAGAUCAUGGAGGAAGACCAGUGGCGAAGGCGGGUCUCUGGACAGUUCCUGACACUGAGACACGAAGGCCAGGGGGAGCAAACGGG
rnacentral:rRNA from 1 species